AAUCUUUUUAUAAAACUUUCACCUUAUUUAUUUAUUCCUUAAUUCUCUAUAUGUUUCCUCAGUGUCAUUCGGCCGAGGCCUAAUCAUUUUCUUAUGCAGUUGACAAUUAGCAUACUUCCCAUCAAAGAAUCAAGAGGGAGAUAUCUUGUGAAUCGAAGCACAACUAAGCCAGACAGCCCCAACCUUACAACGGGAUUAUAGAUGGAGAAUUAUGAACACUUGAACAGAAUCUUUCACCUAAAUGAGUCGAUCAUUCUACAAUCAUGCUUUUUCCGGCGGCAUCUAAGAUGAGAUUUUUGAUCCGUGAAUGUGUUCUCACCUACAAUCUC